GUUUUGGACAGGUAUCGACAA
rnacentral:siRNA from 1 species